GAAAUGCGAUAAUUAAUGUGAAUUGCAGAAUUCAGUGAAUCAUCGAGUCUUUGAACGCACAUUGCGCCCCCUGGUAUUCCGGGGGGCAUGCCUGUCCGAGCGUCAUUGCUGCCCUUAAGCACGGCUUGUGUGUUGGGCUUCCGUCCCUGGCAACGGGGACGGGCCCAAAAGGCAGUGGCGGCACCAUGUCUGGUCCUCGAGCGUAUGGGGCUUUGUCACCCGCUCCCGUAGGUCCAGCUGGCAGCUAGCCUCGCAACCAAUCUUUUUAACCAGGUUGACCUCGGAUCAGGUAGGGAUACCCGCUGAACUUAAGC
rnacentral:misc_RNA from 1 species